rnacentral:rRNA from 1 species
AAGCGCUUGCAACCAGACUUGCACUUGGUCGAUCAUCCGGGGUUCUCCCCGGUGCACUCGAUCUCGUUCAGGCCAGCAUCGGUUCGCCCAGGGGGAUAAAAGCUUUGGGAAUGUAGCUCUCUUCGGGGAGUGUUAUAGCCCGUUGCAGAAUACCCCUGGCGCGGACCGAGGACCGCGCCUUGUGCAAGGAUGCUGGCGUAAUGGUCGUCAGCGA